AGCCUAACCCUCACGGCUUUACUGUGAGGUAUGGCAAAAAAACCUGUGAAGGAUACCAAACCCAUCGUUUGGGAGCUCCUUCACAGGUCAUAGCUCGAAAGAGCUAUGGGUGGCACAAGCCAUC
rnacentral:sRNA from 1 species